rnacentral:lncRNA from 1 species
GCUCCCCUGGUGACCUGGCUGCCCCCGGCCUGCUCCUGCUCUUGGCACGCGGGGGAACUUUUCUACCCACGAUCAAACCAGCCGCCUGAGAGCCGAGCACCUCGGCUGCGCAGCCAGGUGACUGCUCCACCUGGGUCAAGUGUUCGUGAUCCUACCUGCCCGGGAAGGUUUCAAGACAGUUCUAUUCUGGGCAGCUUGCUAUGUGGGAAAACUGACACGGUGGAGCAAGUGACCUGUUAAGACCAAAAAAUAAAUGAACAGUGUUAG